rnacentral:rRNA from 1 species
UACAGAGGGUGCAAGCGUUAAUCGGAAUUACUGGGCGUAAAGCGUGCGUAGUCGGUUAUUUAAGUCGGGCGUGAAAGCCCCGGGCUCAACCUGGGAAUUGCGUUCGAUACUGGAUAGCUAGAGUUCGGCAGAGGGGAAGCGGAAUUUCGGGUGUAGCGGUGAAAUGCGUAGAUAUCCGAAGGAACAUCAGUGGCGAAAGCGGCUUCCUGGACCAGAACUGACGAUCAGGCACGAAAGCGUGGGGGAGCAAACAGG